rnacentral:rRNA from 1 species
UACGGAGGGAGCUAGCGUUAUUCGGAAUUACUGGGCGUAAAGCGCACGUAGGCGGCUUUGCAAGUUAGAGGUGAAAGCCUGGGGCUCAACUCCAGAACUGCCUUUAAAACUGCAUCGCUUGAAUCCAGGAGAGGUGAGUGGAAUUCCGAGUGUAGAGGUGAAAUUCGUAGAUAUUCGGAAGAACACCAGUGGCGAAGGCGGCUCACUGGACUGGUAUUGACGCUGAGGUGCGAAAGCGUGGGGAGCAAACAGG